rnacentral:rRNA from 1 species
GUGGGGAAUAUUGGACAAUGGGCGCAAGCCUGAUCCAGCCAUGCCGCGUGAGUGAUGAAGGCCCUAGGGUUGUAAAGCUCUUUCACCGGUGAAGAUAAUGACGGUAACCGGAGAAGAAGCCCCGGCUAACUUCGUGCCAGCAGCCGCGGUAAUACGAAGGGGGCUAGCGUUGUUCGGAAUUACUGGGCGUAAAGCGCACGUAGGCGGACAUUUAAGUCAGGGGUGAAAUCCCGGGGCUCAACCCCGGAACUGCCUUUGAUACUGGGUGUCUGGAGUAUGGAAGAGGUAAGUGGAAUUCCGAGUGUAGAGGUGAAAUUCGUAGAUAUUCGGAGGAACACCAGUGGUGAAGGCGGCUUACUGGUCCAUUACUGACGCUGAGGUGCGAAAGCGUGGGGAGCAAACAGGAUUAGAUACCCUAGUAGUCC